rnacentral:rRNA from 1 species
GACGAAGGAUGCAAGCGUUAUCCGGAUUCAUUGGGUUUAAAGGGAGCGUAGGUGGCCUUAUAAGUCAGUGGUGAAAUCUCUGGGCUUAACCAGAAAUUGCCAUUGAUACUGUAGGGCUUGAGUAUAGUUGCCGUUGGCGGAAUAUGACAUGUAGUGGUGAAAUACAUAGAGAUGUCAUAGAACACCGAUUGCGAAGGCAGCUAACGAAACUAUAACUGACACUGAGGCUCGAAAGUGCGGGGAUCAAACAGG